rnacentral:rRNA from 1 species
AAUCAACGCUGGCGGCGUGCCUCAGACAUGCAAGUCGAACGCGAAAGUCCCCUUCGGGGGACAAGUAGAGUGGCGCACGGGUGAGUAACACGUAGGUAAUCUACCUUCGGAUGGGGAAUAACAACCGGAAACGGUUGCUAAUACCGCAUAAUGCAGCGGCACCUAAUGGUGACAGUUGUUAAAGCGGGGGAUCGAAAGACCUCGCGUCUGAAGAGGAGCCUGCGGCGGAUUAGCUAGNGGUAAGGUAAUGGCUUACCAAGGCGACGAUCCGUAGCCGGCCUGAGAGGGCGGUCGGCCAC